rnacentral:pre_miRNA from 1 species
GGAUGGAUGAUGAACUGUGCAUGUGCCUGGCUCCCUGUAUGCCAUUCGCAGAGCUCCAACGGAUUCAUCCAUGGCCUCCGUGGAUGGCGUAUGAGGAGCCAUGCAUAUAUCUACCUACCUUUUCAUCUCAUCAUCCCUUUCC